rnacentral:rRNA from 1 species
CAGUAGCCGCGGUAAUACGAGGGGUGCAAGUGUUAUUCGGAUUGAUUGGGUGUAAAGGGUGUGCAGACGGCUUAUUAAGUCACUUGUUAAAUUCUUCGGCCUAACUGAAGGUCUGCAAGUGAUACUGAUGAGCUAGAGGGUGGAAGAGAGAAGUGGAAUUCUCGGAGUAGCGGUAAAAUGCGUAGAUCUCGAGAGGAACACCAAUGGCGAAGGCAGCUUCUUGGUCCAUUCCUGACGUUCAUACACGAAAGCGUGGGGAGCAAACAGGAUUAGAUACCCGGGUAGUCCCUGUCUCUUAUAC